UACCAGCACCCCGAGUGGUCGGGCCGAUUAUUGGGCCUAAAGCAUCCGUAGCCGGUCAUGCAAGUCUUCCGUUAAAUCCAGCCGCUCAACGGUUGGGCUGCGGAGGAUACUACGUGGCUAGGAGGCGGGAGAGGCAAGCGGUACUCAGUGGGUAGGGGUAAAAUCCUUUGAUCCAUUGAAGACCACCAGUGGCGAAGGCGGCUUGCCAGAACGCGCUCGACGGUGAGGGAUGAAAGCUGGGGGAGCAAA
rnacentral:rRNA from 1 species